GGUUUCCGAUGUGACUGGCGACGAAGUGGGAAUAACCACGAUGGAGCAUCGGAACAUACGGCCGGUCGCCUGGGCAGAGAGC
rfam:Paenibacillus sp. D9 Scaffold1, whole genome shotgun sequence.